GAGGGUAUAGCUGAGUGGUAAACGGCAUGCCUCACAUGCAUGAGGUCCUGGGUUCAAUCCCCAGUGCCUCCA
rnacentral:tRNA from 1 species